GAUGAAGAACGCAGCGAAAUGCGAUAAGUAGUGUGAAUUGCAGAAUUCAGUGAAUCAUCGAAUCUUUGAACGCACCUUGCGCUCCUUGGUAUUCUGAGGAGCAUGCCUGUUUGAGUAUCAUAAAAUUGUCAACUGUGUCACUUUUAUAGUGAUUUACAGAUUGGAUAUGGGAGUUUUUGCAGGCCUAGUUUGUCAGCUCUCCUGAAACACAUUAGCAGUGCCUUGUUGGUCCUUGGGUGUGAUAAUUUAUCUAUGCCUUGACGUGUACCUUCAUGAAGGUUGUGCUGCUUCCAAUGGUCUUUGGACACAUUUAUUGAAGAUUUGAUCUCAAAUCAGGCAGGACUACCCGCUGAACUUAAGCAUAUCAAUAAGCGGAGGA
rnacentral:misc_RNA from 1 species